rnacentral:rRNA from 1 species
GGGAGGUAGUGACAAUAAAUAACAAUACAGGGCUCUCACGAGUCUUGUAAUUGGAAUGAGUACAAUUUAAAUCUCUUAACGAGGAACAAUUGGAGGGCAAGUCUGGUGCCAGCAGCCGCGGUAAUUCCAGCUCCAAUAGCGUAUAUUAAAGUUGUUGCAGUUAAAAAGCUCGUAGUUGAAUUUUGGGUCUGGCCGGGCAGUCCGCUUUCUGGGUGAGUACUGAUACGAUGUCGGACCUAUCCUUCUGGUGAAUCGGCAUGUCCUUUACUGGGUGUGUCGGGGAACCAGGACCAUUACCUUGAAAAAAUUAGAGUGUUCAAAGCAGGCGCAUGCUCGAAUACAUUAGCAUGGAAUAAUAAAAUAGGACGCGUGGUGCUAUUUUGUUGGUUUCUAGAACCACCGUAAUGAUUAAUAGGGAUAGUUGGG